GACGAACGCUGGCGGCGUGCCUAAUACAUGCAAGUAGAACGCAGUUGGGAACGGGUGAGUAACGCGUCGGUACCUGCCUGGUAGCGGGGGAUAACUAUUGGAAACGAUAGCUAAUACCGCAUACUACUAGAUGGACCUGCGUUGUAUUAUCUAGUUGGUGGGGUAACGGCCUACCUAGGCAACGAUACAUAGCCGACCUGAGAGGGUGAUCGGCCACACUGGGACUGAGACACGGCCCAGACUCCUACGGGAGGCAGAAGUAGGGAAUCUUCGGCAAUGGGGGGAACCCUGACCGAGCAACGCCGCGUGAGUGAAGAAGGGUUUCGGAGCGUAAAGCUCUGUUGUUAAGGAAGCGGUACUUAACCAGAAAGGGACGGCUAACUACGUGCCAGCAGCCGCGGUAAUAC
rnacentral:rRNA from 1 species